UUUGAUCAGUGCAAUUUGAUGCACGUUCUUAUACUAUUGUACUUACGAAACCUUAUAGUUUAUUCUAUUAUUUUUACUAUUUUAGUGUAUUUUUAUAUUUAAGUUUACUUUUUGCUUUAUUUUAUUUUCGUACUUUAUUUUCAGCAUAAACUAUUAUUUGAUAUCUCGUAACUAUGCAGACCACAACUUGAGCUACGGGAAUCGGAUUGUUUCAUUUUGAUAUGUGUUGGAAAGAUAAGAG
rnacentral:lncRNA from 1 species